rnacentral:rRNA from 1 species
GUGGGGAAUAUUGGACAAUGGGCGAAAGCCUGAUCCAGCAAUGCCGCGUGAGUGAUGAAGGCCUUAGGGUUGUAAAGCUCUUUUACCCGGGAUGAUAAUGACAGUACCGGGAGAAUAAGCUCCGGCUAACUCCGUGCCAGCAGCCGCGGUAAUACGGAGGGAGCUAGCGUUGUUCGGAAUUACUGGGCGUAAAGCGCGCGUAGGCGGCUACUCAAGUCAGAGGUGAAAGCCCGGGGCUCAACCCCGGAACUGCCUUUGAAACUAGGUAGCUAGAAUCUUGGAGAGGUCAGUGGAAUUCCGAGUGUAGAGGUGAAAUUCGUAGAUAUUCGGAAGAACACCAGUGGCGAAGGCGACUGACUGGACAAGUAUUGACGCUGAGGUGCGAAAGCGUGGGGAGCAAACAGG